AGGAAAGGCAAGCAACGGCGACUGCCUCAGUAACGGCGAGUGAAUUGGCAACACCUGGCUCACCCCGAAGUGGAACCCUAUCAACACUGAUCCCGACUCGGGACAGUCGUGUGCGGCUCUCGUGGAUUCCAGCAGAUGCUGUGGGUUAUGGAGCAGGUGGCGUGUUGCAGCCAGGACCGCACCAGGAAGGGCCCUGGAAUGGCCCACAGCAGAGGGAUACUGUCCCGUACGAAGCCUGUGUGUGGCCCCUGGCCUGCGGCACUGCUGCCUGCCUCCCGGAGUAGAGUGGCUUGGGACUGCAGUUUGAAGCGCGAGGUGUAUCCCUCGCAAGGCAGAGUACUGGCAUGGGACCGAUAGAGCACAAGUAGAGUGAUUGAAGGAUGCAAAGGACUUUGCAAAGAGGGUUAAAAGUCCCUGAAGCCGCAACGGCAACGGCGGUGGGUGACGCUGUGAGAUCCCGUCUGGCGCGCUCUGCCCUCUCCGGAGGCAGUCCGUGCCACGACCCAAAUGCGAAGAGAGAUUCCAAGCAACCUUGGGCCAGCCCAGCGCUGGCCAGUGAGCCCCAUCCCUCCAGGGGGGGACGUUUCCUGGUGGCAACUGGUGACACUCUGUGUGCCUGGGCCUGAGGCUGAAGUGACAGUGGGUGAACGGCAAUCAAUGUGCGAGAGCGAGAGAUCCCCUCUGCGGAGGCCAAUUGUGUAGCCCGGCGAUCGAUGGAACACUGCGAAGUAGUAGCAAGUACUCCCCUUUCGGGUGCGUCUGCGGACGUGCCCGUCACCGUGCCUGGCCAUGGAUCCGGGACUGGUGGACCCACGGUGGCUGCACCACCCAUGGCUGGUGGCCCUGUGGGACCGUUGGUCCCCCAGACAGUGCACGGUGCGACGGCAGUGAGCUUGGCCCACCAGUGCCAUUCUCUGCCCGUCUUGAAACACGGACCAAGGAGUCUAUGGAGCCCGCGAUUGUUGGAAGGUGCUGAUGUAAACCGAAGUGCAUGGUGAAGGCAACAGUCCCAGAUGGCUAGAAGCUGCGUGGGACACCAGUCCUGCAGCCCAGUGGACAAGGUUCUGAGUGAUUGCGUGGUCCAUGGGACCCGAAAGGUGGUGAACUAUACCAUUCUAUGGUGAAGCCUUGGGAAACCGAGGUGGAGGCCAGUAGCUGUUCUGACGUGCAAAUUGUGUAGCCUGAGUGUGGCAUAGGGGUGAAAGGCCAAUCGAGCCACCUAGUAGC
rnacentral:rRNA from 1 species